GUCCAGCUGAUGAGUCCCAAACAGGGCGAAACGCGCAUGCUGUAU
rfam:Schistosoma mattheei strain Denwood, Zambia genome assembly, scaffold: SMTD_scaffold0000085